UGCCAGCAGCCGCGGUAAUACGGAGGGUGCAAGCGUUGUUCGGAUUUAUUGGGCGUAAAGCGCGCGCAGGCGGACUUAUAAGCCAGAUGUGAAAUCUCGGGGCUCGACCCCGAAACUGCGUCUGGAACUGUGAGUCUAGAAUGUCAUAGGGGGUAGGGGAAUUUCACGUGUAGGGGUAAAAUCCGUAGAGAUGUGAAGGAACACCAGUGGCGAAGGCGCCUACCUGGAUGAAUAUUGACGCUGAGAUGCGAAGGCAUGGGUAGCAAACGGGAUUAGAUA
rnacentral:rRNA from 1 species